GACGAACGCUGGCGGCGUGCCUAAUACAUGCAAGUAGAACGCUGAAGGAGGAGCUUGCUUCUCUGGAUGAGUUGCGAACGGGUGAGUAACGCGUAGGUAACCUGCCUGGUAGCGGGGGAUAACUAUUGGAAACGAUAGCUAAUACCGCAUAAUAGUAGAUGUUGCAUGACAUUUGCUUAAAAGGUGCAAUUGCAUCACUACCAGAUGGACCUGCGUUGUAUUAGCUAGUUGGUGGGGUAACGGCUCACCAAGGCGACGAUACAUAGCCGACCUGAGAGGGUGAUCGGCCACACUGGGACUGAGACACGGCCCAGACUCCUACGGGAGGCAGCAGUAGGGAAUCUUCGGCAAUAGACGGAAGUCUGACCGAGCAACGCCGCGUGAGUGAAGAAGGUUGUCGGAUCGUAAAGCUCUGUUGUAAGAGAAGAACGAGUGUGAGAGUGGAAAGUUCACACUGUGACGGUAUCUUACCAGAAAGGGACGGCUAACUACGUG
rnacentral:rRNA from 1 species